UCUGGUGACAAUGGCGGAGGGGAUCCACUCGUUCCCAUCCCGAACACGACCGUUAAGCCCUCCAGCGCCGAUGGUACUUGGGGCGAAGGCUCCCGGGAGAGUAGGACGUUGCCAGGC
rnacentral:rRNA from 1 species